AUCGGGAUUCUAGCUCACCAAACACUUCGAAUUGUGUGGUAGAAGAGCCGUAGUUCCUUCUAAAUAAAGUCGAACCCAUGUAAGGUCUGGGUUCUGAGAUCAUUUUGCCCUCUGGCAGCUCACGAGCACCACCGGGUCGCCGCCUGCCCUCUGUUCAGCCCGUGAGGGGCGGGGGACUCUGCCCUUCGCUCCUCCUGGUCUCUGUCCUCUUCCCUAAGAGUUUCAUUCCGUCCGGAGCCACAAGCCGCCCUGCCUUCUGCACCUCCCCGGAGGCUGAAGCCCUUAAGCCUGCCCCGCACCCUAAGGCCCUGCAGGACACUCCUGCUGUCCUUGCGGGGCACACUGAUAUGACUCGAUGCUGAGCAGUUGAAAGGAUUAAAAAAUAGUGGGCAAACGGCAAAAACGGGUGGCAUGGAGUGAAUUAGAAGACACGAGACUUCAGAGAAGUGCGUUUCAUGCACAGAAGUUUGUCAAUGCCCCCCACCCCGAAACCCAGUCUCCCUGAGUGAGGGAGAGGGGGCUUCACCUUCCCUUUCGUUUCACUUUGAGCCCCAACUGCUGGACUGCAACAGAACGACCCUACAGGCUCACUAUGUUUCACAUUCUGGGGAUUCCUGGUGGCACCUUCCUGUGUUCACCAGUGGGUCCCCGUU
rnacentral:lncRNA from 1 species